GAUAAUGGACAAUGGGGGCGACGCUGAUCCAGCCAUGCCGCGUGUGUGAAGAAGGUCUUCGGAUUGUAAAGCACUCUAAGUUGGGAGGAAGGGCAGUAAGUCAAUACCUUGCUGUUUUGACUUUACCAACAGAAUAACCACCGCCGAACUCCGAGCCAUCAGCCGCGGUAAGACGGAGGUUGCAAGCGUUAAUCGGAAUUACUGGGCGGAAAGCGCGCGUAGGUGGUUCAGUAAGAAGGGUGUGAAAUCCCCGGGCUUAACCUGGGAACUGCUUUCAUAACUGCUGGGCUAGAGUACGGUAGAGGGUAGUGGAAUUUCCUGUGUAGCGGUGAAAUGCGUAGAUAUAGGAAGGAACACCAGUGGCGAAGGCGACUACCUGGACUGAUACUGACACUGAGGUGCGAAAGCGUGGGGAGCAAAC
rnacentral:rRNA from 1 species